rnacentral:tRNA from 1 species
GGGGGUGUAGCUCAGUUGGUAGAGCGCCUGCUUUGCACGCAGGAGGUCAGCGGUUCGAAUCCGCUCAUCUCCA